rnacentral:rRNA from 1 species
GUCGCAACGCGUUGGCCCAAUUGAUUGAUGGUGCUUGCACCUGAUUGAUUUUGGUCGCCAACGAGUGGCGGACGGGUGAGUAACACGUAGGUAACCUGCCCAGAAGCGGGGGACAACAUUUGGAAACAGAUGCUAAUACCGCAUAACAGCGUUGUUCGCAUGAACAACGCUUAAAAGAUGGCUUCUCGCUAUCACUUCUGGAUGGACCUGCGGUGCAUUAGCUUGUUGGUGGGGUAACGGCCUACCAAGGCGAUGAUGCAUAGCCGAGUUGAGAGACUGAUCGGCCACAAUGGGACUGAGACACGGCCCAUACUCCUACGGGAGGCAGCAGUAGGGAAUCUUCCACAAUGGGCGCAAGCCUGAUGGAGCAACACCGCGUGAGUGAAGAAGGGUUUCGGCUCGUAAAGCUCUGUUGUUAAAGAAGAACACGUAUGAGAGUAACUGUUCAUACGUUGACGGUAUUUAACCAGAAAGUCACGGCUAACUACGUGCCAGCAGCCGCGGUAAUACGUAGGUGGCAAGCGUUAUCCGGAUUUAUUGGGCGUAAAGAGAGUGCAGGCGGUUUUCUAAGUCUGAUGUGAAAGCCUUCGGCUUAACCGGAGAAGUGCAUCGGAAACUGGAUAACUUGAGUGCAGAAGAGGGUAGUGGAACUCCAUGUGUAGCGGUGGAAUGCGUAGAUAUAUGGAAGAACACCAGUGGCGAAGGCGGCUACCUGGUCUGCAACUGACGCUGAGACUCGAAAGCAUGGGUAGCGAACAGGAUUAGAUACCCUGGUAGUCCAUGCCGUAAACGAUGAGUGCUAGGUGUUGGAGGGUUUCCGCCCUUCAGUGCCGGAGCUAACGCAUUAAGCACUCCGCCUGGGGAGUACGACCGCAAGGUUGAAACUCAAAGGAAUUGACGGGGGCCCGCACAAGCGGUGGAGCAUGUGGUUUAAUUCGAAGCUACGCGAAGAACCUUACCAGGUCUUGACAUCUUGCGCCAACCCUAGAGAUAGGGCGUUUCCUUCGGGAACGCAAUGACAGGUGGUGCAUGGUCGUCGUCAGCUCGUGUCGUGAGAUGUUGGGUUAAGUCCCGCAACGAGCGCAACCCUUGUUACUAGUUGCCAGCAUUAAGUUGGGCACUCUAGUGAGACUGCCGGUGACAAACCGGAGGAAGGUGGGGACGACGUCAGAUCAUCAUGCCCCUUAUGACCUGGGCUACACACGUGCUACAAUGGACGGUACAACGAGUCGCGAACUCGCGAGGGCAAGCAAAUCUCUUAAAACCGUUCUCAGUUCGGACUGCAGGCUGCAACUCGCCUGCACGAAGUCGGAAUCGCUAGUAAUCGCGGAUCAGCAUGCCGCGGUGAAUACGUUCCCGGGCCUUGUACACACCGCCCGUCACACCAUGAGAGUUUGUAACACCCAAAGUCGGUGGGGUAACCUU